AUUGCUUCUCGGCCUUUUGGCUAAGAUCAAGUGUAGUAUCUGUUCUCAUCAGUGGUUUGGUCUUUGCCAUUGAUGUAGGAUGCAUGGAGGGGGCAGGUGUAGCGGGGCAUUUCGGGGCUAGUGCCAGAGGACCAGCUCAACGGCUGCCCUGAUGUGACCUGUUUCCUCCAGGUCUCGCCAUGAGAU